AUUGAACGCUGGCGGCAGGCCUAACACAUGCGAGUCGAGCGGAUGAAGGGAGCUUGCUCCUGGAUUCAGCGGCGGACGGGUGAGUAAUGCCUAGGAAUCUGCCUGGUAGUGGGGGAUAACGUCCGGAAACGGGCGCCAAUACCGCAUACGUCCUGAGGGAGAAAGUGGGGGAUCUUCGGACCUCACGCUAUCAGAUGAGCCUAGGUCGGAUUAGCUAGUUGGUGGGGUAAAGGCCUACCAAGGCGACGAUCCGUAACUGGUCUGAGAGGAUGAUCAGUCACACUGGAACUGAGACACGGUCCAGACUCCUACGGGAGGCAGCAGUGGGGAAUAUUGGACAAUGGGCGAAAGCCUGAUCCAGCCAUGCCGCGUGUGUGAAGAAGGUCUUCGGAUUGUAAAGCACUUUAAGUUGGGGGGAAGGGCAGUAAGUUAAUACCUUGCUGUUUUGACGUUACCAACAGAAUAAGCACCGGCUAACUUCGUG
rnacentral:rRNA from 1 species